CAUACUUUCUCAAACUCCUGCCUUUCCCCUCCUUACCCACAGGUGGCGCUGUACAGCAUGUAUGUGGCCUGUAUGGCGUUCCAUGCUAAAGUGAGUGACCCGGUGAUUGGUGGGACUUACAUGACCCUGCUGAACACGGUCACCAACCUGGGGGAAACUGGCCCUCCACCCUGGCAUUGUGGAUGGUCGACCCACUCACCUCUAAGGAGUGCCAGGGAGCUGCCGGGCAGAAAUGUGGCUCCCCAGAGGAGACGGGGCUGUGUGUUAAGGAGGGCGGUGUGUGUGUGACGUCGUUGGAUGGGUACUAUGUGGAGUCGGUGGUGUGUGUGUUGAUAGGACUAGCGUGGUGGGUGUGGCUAGGGAACAGGAUGAGAAGGCUACAGGACCAGAGCCCUGCAGCGUGGAGUUGCAGGAUCGGCCAAUGACAACGUUCACCCAGCUCCUGACCCCGGCAAGGCCAAUCGCCAGACAGCUACAGUCUGAUAUAAAAUCUUCUGUCAGCUCAGCCUUUGACCCUGGCCUGAACAUCACUUUCUCUCUCUCAUUUCUGUUUUUCUGUCUUCUUCCGACUCCUUAUUUCUCUCCUUUCUCUGUCCAUCUCUUUCUCCUUCUCUGACUCUUUAUUUCUCUCCUUCCUCUGUCCAUCUCUUUCUCCUUCUCUGACUCUUUAUUUCUCUCCUUCCUCUGUCCAUCUUUCUCCUUCUCUGACUCUUUAUUUCUCUCCUUUCUCUGUCCAUCUCUCUCUCCUUCUCUGACUCUUUAUUUCUCUCCUUUCUGUCCAUCUCUUUCUCCUUCUCUGACUCUUUAUUUCUCUCCUUUCUCUGUCCAUCUCUUUCUCCUUCUCUGACUCUUUAUUUCUCUCCUUCCUCUGUCCAUCUCUCUCUCCUUCUCUGACUCUUUAUUUCUCUCUUUCCUCUGUCCAUCUCUUUCUCCUUCUCUGACUCUUUAUUUCUCUCCUUUCUCUGUCCAUCUCUUUCUCCUUCUCUGACUCUUUAUUUCUCUCCUUUCUCUGUCCAUCUCUUUCUCCUUCUCUGACUCUUUAUUUCUCUCCUUUCUCUGUCCAUCUCUCUCUCCUUCUCUGACUCUUUAUUUCUCUCCUUUCUCUGUCCAUCUCUCUCUCCUUCUCUGACUCUUUAUUUCUCUCCUUUCUCUGUCCAUCUCUUUCUCCUUCUCUGACUCUUUAUUUCUCUCCUUUUUCUGUCCAUCUCUUUCUCCUUCUCUGACUCUUUAUUUCUCUCCUUCCUCUGUCCAUCUCUUUCUCCUUCUCUGACUCUUUAUUUCUCUCCUUCCUCUGUCCAUCUCUCUCUCCUUCUCUGACUCUUUAUUUCUCUCCUUCCUCUGUCCAUCUCUUUCUCCUUCUCUGACUCUUUAUUUCUCUCCUUCCUCUGUCCAUCUUUCUCCUUCUCUGACUCUUUAUUUCUCUCCUUUCUCUGUCCAUCUCUCUCUCCUUCUCUGACUCUUUAUUUCUCUCCUUUCUCUGUCCAUCUCUUUCUCCUUCUCUGACUCUUUAUUUCUCUCCUUUCUCUGUCCAUCUCUUUCUCCUUCUCUGACUCUUUAUUUCUCUCCUUCCUCUGUCCAUCUCUUUCUCCUUCUCUAACUCUUUAUUUCUCUCCUUUCUCUGUCCAUCUCUCUCUCCUUCUCUGACUCUUUAUUUCUCUCCUUUCUCUGUCCAUCUCUUUCUCCUUCUCUGACUCUUUAUUUCUCUCCUUUCUCUGUCCAUCUCUUUCUCCUUCUCUGACUCUUUAUUUCUCUCCUUCCUCUGUCCAUCUCUUUCUCCUUCUCUGACUCUUUAUUUCUCUCCUUCCUCUGUCCAUCUCUCUCUCCUUCUCUGACUCUUUAUUUCUCUCCUUCCUCUGUCCAUCUCUCUCUCCUUCUCUGACUCUUUAUUUCUCUCCUUCCUCUGUCCAUCCCUCUCUCCUUCUCUGAUAACUCUUCUCAGUGUCCCUAUUUUCCCUCUCCCCCUUCUUCCCUUCCUUUGCUCAGUGUAAUAUUAUCCUUCAGCAGUCUGUCUCUGCUUUAACUGUAAUUGUGGGCCGGCCACCACCAGACUAUGGACCAUAACGGUCAAUAACCACAUACUCUCUUGGAGAGUCAAGAGUUACAUUUCUCCUUGCAACGUCACAUCCUCACCAUGGCUUCUGUGGGUGCCGCUUCAACUAUGUCCCAUUGGAAACAAAAGAAGGAACUAUUCUUCUUGCUAGGAAUAUUUACAGUAGACAUAGCUGCUCCUUCUCAAUCCACAUUAUCUGCUACUAUUUCACUAUUUCACUUUCUCACUGUUUAUUUGUGCCUUGCUCUGUUCUUCAAAGACUCUGAUUUUAAAGUUAGUCAGAUAUUUUUAAAAAGGCAUUCAUCAACGAACGGUCAUAAAAAGCAAACCACAUAUAUAUGGAGGGUUAAAUAUGAACUUUGAGAUGUACAGCCAAGACCUAGUUGAUAAAUAGAUCACGUUUCUGUGUGGAACAUGGGAGUCAGAAAUCACAUUUCUAUUCUUGAUGUGAAUCUAUUGUCCCUUCAAAAGAAAUGCCUAAAUUAUAACAUUACUGUUUUAAUAUACACUGAGUGUAUAAAACAUUAGGAACACCUUCCUAUUGAGUUACUAUGUUAAACGUUCCUAAUGUUGAAUUGCACCCCCCUCCUUUUGCCAUGUUGACACCAAUGCUUCGCACAGUUGUCAAGUUGGCUGGAUGUCCUUUGGGUGUUGGACCAUUCUUGAUGGGAAAACUGUUGAGCGUGAAACUAGGCCACGUUGCAUUUCUUUACACAAACUGGUGUGCCUGGCACCUGCUACCAUACCCUGUUCAAAGGCACUUAAAUAUUAUUCUUGACAAUUCACCCUCUGAAUGGCACAAACACAAUUCAUGUCUCAAUUGUCUCCAGGCUUAAAAUCCUUCUUUAACCCGUCUCCUCCCCUUCAUCUACACUGAUUGAAGUGGAUUUAACAGGUGCCAUCAAUAAAGGAUCAUAGCUUUCACCCGGUCAGUCUGUCUUAAUGUUUUGUAUACUCAGCGUAUGUCUCUAAUUUUUGAAUACAACAGUAUUUUCUCUAUACCAGCAAUGACAGGUCAGAGGUUGUGUGAAAGGGAGAAGGCAGUAAACAGUCAUGUCCGGAUCUGGGGAUCACCUGUAUCGGUUCUGUUUGGUUUAUGUCAUAGAACAUUUUAAUGUUUUUCUGUUUGUUAAUUCUCAAGAGUUAUUUUUAUUUAUUUUGGGGGUCUCUGCUCUAUUCUACAUCAGGCUGAACAAAAUAAUUUGCAUUGAUUCAUGUGUGGAACACUGAUAAAUCAGAUUCUGUGUUUCUCCCUUAAUGUCUGCCCCUAACCACCUGUCCACAUUCAGAUGGGACUCAGCUCCUAAAGGUGAAAGUCAGGGUUGGGGUAUAAUGAAAUGAUCCUAGAUCAGGUUGUUCUCCUUUUGUGUGUGUGUGUGUGUGGGGGGGGGGGGAAGACAAAGAGCACGUUGAGUUUCCACACCAAUGCAAAGCCUUUAUUCUGUAACUGAGACUCUUGUUAGCCUUAAACGUUUCAUUUUUUAACUUUCUCUUUAUUUUACAUCUUGUGAUGCUGCUGCAUGUACAUCGCCUUUUAUGUCUGUGUCAGUACUUUUAACAAUUUAAAAUAUUGCCUAAACUCUACCAGCAUUCAUUUACAUAUGGAUAUGUUAGACUUGUUUUGAUUUACCAAAAAUUUAAAUGAAUGUUAUUUGUUUUGUUUUUUUAGCACUUUUUUUUCAUGUCGGUUUGUCUUCAUUUCAGUUGUAAAUUUCUUUUAAAAAAUGUCAAAAACUCCACUCUAGUUAUUUUCCAAGAUGAGUGGAGGGUUUUUAAAAGAAUGUUCAACUACUGAAUUUCCCAUGGAAUACAAAUGAUUUGUGAUGGGCUGUUGCAAACCAAUCUUUGAUUCCCAACUCACAUUUCUAAAAGCUGACGUUAAAGACCUGCUUGGUAUUGGAGUUGUCCCUAGUGGGAACAACUCCGUGGGAAUCGAACCCACAACCCUGGUAUUGCAUGUGCCAUGCUCUACCGAGAGUGAUCCCCGGGUUGGGAUCAAUCCCAUUUAAUUUCCAGUCAGUUCGGGAAGUACACUACAAUUCCAAUUCAAUGCUUUUCAAUUGGAAACAUUUUAGAGAAAAAAAAUCAAUAAUUAUUGACUAGAAUUUCGAUGUGAUUGACCUGAAUUCUGCACUGUAACCUGUGAGACUUGUCCGCUAUGCUGUAAGAUGUUCUGAGUAACUUUUGUACCAACAUUCCCAAGAUGUAAUAUUGAAAAUAUUUACAGUAAUAAAUAUCUUUAUGUAAUACAAUGAA